rnacentral:SRP_RNA from 1 species
UGGUUUCUGUCGCGGGAAGCUGUGACUCGAGCGAGAGCGAGCAGAGGGUCUGGGAUGUGUGCAUUUUACGUUCGCCCCUUCGCUCCCCAUCGAUGGCCUCCCCCAUCUAAGUGCGGGGCCGCUGGAUCGCGCCGGGCGGAAGCUUGGCGCGAGCCGCGCGAUAAUGUGCGGGGGACUGCGUGAGGCGGGACAACCGAGCAGCGAAGACUUGCCCCCUUGCACAGUAGAGGGAACAGAGGACUGAGU